AUGUGGUCAAGCUACAAAGAGCUUAUGGUGGAUCCCUCGGCACACAGAGGCGAUGAAGGACGUGGCGACCGACGAAACGCUCCGGGGAGCUGGAAGCAAGCAAUGAGCCGGAGAUAUCCGAAUGGGGCAACCCCAAAGAACUAACUGCUGAAUCAAUAGGCAGUAAAGAGCCAACCCAGUGAACUGAAACAUCUUAGUAGCUGGAGGAAAAGAAAUCAAAAGAGAUUCCCUGAGUAGUGGUGAGCGAAACGGGAAGAGCCUAAACCAUCAAGCAUGCUUGAUGGGGUAGUGGGACAGCAAGGUGGGACUCGAGAAGUUAGACAAAGCAACUGAAAACUGCACCAGAGAAGGUAAAAGUCCUGUAGUCGAAAACUUCAAAAGCCCUAGCUGAAUCCCGAGUAGCACGGGGCACGUGAAAUCCCGUGUGAAUCAGCCGAGACCACUCGGUAAGGCUAAAUACUACUGUGUGACCAAUAGUGAACCAGUACCGCGAGGGAAAGGUGAAAAGAACCCCGGGAGGGGAGUGAAAUAGAACGUGAAACCGUAAGCUUACAAGCAAUGGAAGCUCGAUUGAACGAGUGACCGUGUGCCUGUUGAAGAAUGAGCCGGCGACUUAUAAGCAGUGGCAGGUCAAAGCAUUCAAUGCUCAAGCCAAAGCGAAAGCGAGUCUGAAAAGGGCGAAUUAAGUCACUGUUUAUAGACCCGAACCCGGGUGAUCUAACCAUGUCCAGGAUGAAGCUUGGGUAACACCAAGUGGAGGUCCGAACCGACUGAUGUUGAAAAAUCAGCGGAUGAGGUGUGGUUAGGGGUGAAAUGCCAAUCGAACCCGGAGCUAGCUGGUUCUCCCCGAAAUGUGUUGAGGCGCAGCGGUUGUGAUUAUAGUCUGGGGGUAAAGCACUGUUUCGGUGCGGGCUGCGAGAGCGGUACCAAAUCGAGACAAACUCUGAAUACCAGAUGCACACACAGCCAGUGAGACGGUGGGGGAUAAGCUUCAUCGUCAAGAGGGAAACAGCCCAGACCACCAGCUAAGGCCCCCAAAUGGUCACUAAGUGAUUAAGGAGGUGGGAGUGCAAAGACAACCAGGAGGUUUGCCUAGAAGCAGCCAUCCUUGAAAGAGUGCGUAAUAGCUCACUGGUCAAGCGCUCCUGCGCCGAAAAUGAACGGGGCUAAGUGACAUGCCGAAGCUGUGGGAUAUAUAAAGUAUCGGUAGGGGAGCGUUCCGCAGUAGUGAGAAGCACUAGCGACAAGCAGGUGUGGACGAAACGGAAGUGAGAAUGUCGGCUUGAGUAGCGCAAACAUUGGUGAGAAUCCAAUGCCCCGAAACCCCAAGGGUUCCUCCGGAAGGCUCGUCCGCGGAGGGUUAGUCAGGGCCUAAGGCGAGGCAGAAAUGCGUAGUCGAUGGACAACGGGUCAACAAUCCCGUACCAGUAAUUGUUGGUGCAGAGGGACGGAGAAGGCAAGAGCCAGCCGGAUGUUGGUUACCGGUUCAAGCGUUCGAGGUGAUGAGGGACGGAGAAAACGGCCCGAGCUAAGGCGCGAGUACGACCCCCUACGGGGGGGAAGUGGUAUCAGUCAAGCUUCCAAGAAAAGCUCUAAACACCAUAAACAAUUACCGCCUGUACCCGAAACCGACACAGGUGGGGAGGUUGAGAAUACCAAGGGGCGCGAGAUAACUCUCUCUAAGGAACUCGGCAAAAUGACCCCGUAACUUCGGGAGAAGGGGUGCCUUCAGAAAUGAAGGUCGCAGUGAAGAGAUCCAGGCGACUGUUUACCAAAAACACAGGUCUCCGCUAAGUCGUAAGACGAUGUAUGGGGGCUGACGCCUGCCCAGUGCCGGAAGGUUAAAGAAGUCGGUUAGGCGCAAGCCGAAGCUGGCGACUGAAGCCCCGGUGAACGGCGGCCGUAACUAUAACGGUCCUAAGGUAGCGAAAUUCCUUGUCGGGUAAGUUCCGACCCGCACGAAAGGCGUAACGAUCUGGAUGCUGUCUCGGAGAGAGGCUCGGCGAAAUAGGAAUGUCUGUGAAGAUACGGACUGCCUGCACCAGGACAGAAAGACCCUAUGAAGCUUUACUGUAGCCUGGAAUGGUGUUCGGGCUUCGCUUGCGCAGGAUAGGUGGGAGGCACUGAAGUACCCCUUGUGGGGGGUAUGGAGCCAACGGUGAGAUACCACUCUGGCGAGGCUAGAAUUCUAACCUUGACCCCUGAAUCGGGGCGAGGAACAGUUUCAGGUGGGCAGUUUGACUGGGGCGGUCGCCUCCUAAAAGGUAACGGAGGCGCGCAAAGGUUCCCUCAGCCUGGUUGGAAACCAGGCGGCGAGUGUAAAGGCAAAAGGGAGCUUGACUGCAAGAGCUACAACUCAAGCAGGGACGAAAGUCGGCCUUAGUGAUCCGACGGCACCGCGUGGAAGGGCCGUCGCUCAACGGAUAAAAGUUACUCUAGGGAUAACAGGCUGAUCUCCCCCAAGAGUUCACAUCGACGGGGAGGUUUGGCACCUCGAUGUCGGCUCAUCGCAACCUGGGGCGGAAGUACGUCCCAAGGGUUGGGCUGUUCGCCCAUUAAAGCGGUACGUGAGCUGGGUUCAGAACGUCGUGAGACAGUUCGGUCCAUAUCCGGUGCAGGCGUAAGAGCAUUGAGAGGAUCCCUCCUUAGUACGAGAGGACCGGGAGGGACGCACCGCUGGUGUACCAGUUAUCGUGCCAACGGUAAACGCUGGGUAGCCAAGUGCGGAGCGGAUAACCGCUGAAAGCAUCUAAGUGGGAAGCCCACCUCAAGAUGAGUGCUCUCAUGGAAAUAAUCCAGUAAGGUCACAGGAAGAACACCUGUUAAUAGGCGCCAGGUGGAAGUGCAGCAAUGUAUGCAGCCGAAGCGUCCUAAUAGACCGAGGGCUUGACCUCAA
rnacentral:rRNA from 1 species